rnacentral:lncRNA from 1 species
GCUUGAUAACGAAGUCUCUGCAGAGGCAGCCAGAGAAUCGGCCUGCGGCUGGAGUCAGGCGCAGCGAGUAUGACGCUAACACGGCCGGAAAGGGUUCGUCUGUGUCAGACCCCACCCCACACCUCAUCUCUCACUGCUGUCCUGAGAGCCAGCAUGCUCAGAACAGUUUCGAGGCCCCCAGGGCGCCUGCGUCGGCGCGGUCUCCACGUGGAGUUCCCUGGCGGCCGCUCUAGACCAUAACGGCUGCGUUGGAACCUCGCGAGAAGAAAUGAGGGUCACCACCGAGGAAACAUAGCCCAUCAGGCAGGUGCUGCCUCCGGAACUCUGAAGCCGGAAGAUCCGGAACUAAGGGCACCAACUGCAGGAUCACACCCCUCUGGCCUUGUGGUCAAGUCAGUGUAGGGCAUGGUCCGGUUUGGACCAUAAGUUCUUCUUGUUCGAGUUUCAGUUUUGUACGUUUCUCUUGUUUGUUCCCCAACACAGUGCUACAGGAGGGUUUUUUUUGGUUUUUUGUUUGUUUGUUUGUUUGUUUUGGGUUUUUUUGGCGCUGAGGAAACAGACUUUGAAAGAGUUAAUGGUAAGAACAAGGUCACAUAAGUGAAAAAUGCCACGAAAUCGUCUGUGGACAAGAGAGGAAACAAGAAUGUUGGGGGCGAUACAACAAGUAAUGACUGGCAUACUUCUUCACUGCCUGGGACUGCUCUGGAUGUAUUUGUCACUCACACAAACUACUGCAUUUGGAGCCACAUAUAUUCCUCUUGCAUUACUAACGGCAUAUCCAUUUUGGUCAUCCUUGCUUUUUAUCUUCACGGGAGCAUUUACAGUAUCAUUAGAAAAGAUACGUUCACCAUUCUUGAAAAGUGGCAAACUCCUUUCGGAAUAUCUGUUCAUAUUAACCAUCUUGGAGUUGUUUGUGGCAAGUAUAGUCAGCCACUGGGCAUCCCAAGCAAAAAAGAGAAGAAGAUAAAGAUGCAGUUCAUGGCAGAAGGAGAUCCUUUCUCUGCAUAUUAAAGAAACCAUCGGUGAGCUCAGUCAAGGAGGAAAGUUUAGUGGCAAAUGAAGAACUUCAUUCUGUUCAAGAGGCUUCUUGGAAAAUGUAAUUUCAUUAAAUCCAUCUCAGUAUUCUCUUCCCCC